UACGUAGGGUGCGAGCGUUGUCCGGAAUUACUGGGCGUAAAGAGCUCGUAGGUGGUUUGUCGCGUUGUUCGUGAAAUCUCACGGCUUAACUGUGAGCGUGCGGGCGAUACGGGCAGACUAGAGUACUGCAGGGGAGACUGGAAUUCCUGGUGUAGCGGUGGAAUGCGCAGAUAUCAGGAGGAACACCGGUGGCGAAGGCGGGUCUCUGGGCAGUAACUGACGCUGAGGCACGAAAGCUAGGGUAGCGAACGGG
rnacentral:rRNA from 1 species